rnacentral:rRNA from 1 species
CCCGCUCAGAAACUUAAAGGAAGUUGACGGGGGCCCGCACAAGCAGCGGAGCGUGUGGUUUAAUUCGAUGAUACACGAAGAACCUUACCCAGGCUUGACAUGUUGGUAGUAGGGAUCCGAAAGGUGACCGACCCUUCGGGGAGCCUUCACAGGUGCUGCAUGGCUGUCGUCAGCUCGUGUCGUGAGAUGUCCGGUUAAGUCCGGUAACGAGCGCAACCCUCGCUGUGUGUUAUAUGUGUCACACGGGACUGCCGGUAUCAAGCCGGAGGAAGGUGGGGAUGACGUCAAGUCAGCAUGGCCUUUAUGUCUGGGGCUACACACACGCUACAAUGGCCAGUACAAUAGGUUGCAAGACCGCGAGGUGGAGCCAAUCCUUAAAGCUGGUCUCAGUUCGGAUUGCAGGCUGCAACUCGCCUGCAUGAAGUCGGAGUUGCUAGUAACCGCGCGUCAGCUAUAGUGCGGUGAAUACGUUCCCGGGCCUU